UGGCUUGGUCAAAAGAGCAUCCAACUCUUGAUCUUGGAGUUAUGAGUUCAAGUUCCAUGUUGGGUGUAGAGAUUACUUAAAAAUAAAAUCUUAAAAAAAAAAAGUAUUCCUCAAGUUUAAGUCAUGUUUUACAUUUCUCUGAGAGGCUUGACAGACUCAGAUUUCCACUGACCUGAGAUUUGUUGAGUCCUAUAAAGAUGCCUUUACACAGAAUUUAAUAAUACUUAAGGCAGAUUUCAAGAUACAGGAGCAAAGUCAUGUUUGUAAAAGCCUUCCUCAUAUGACUUGGUUGAGACAAAUUCUAUUAAACUAAGAAUAAUCAUGAGAUUGUAUUAUGUAUUUUCCUAGAUUUGUAAAUGUUUUCCUAACUUCAUAUGCCUAAUUCACAACAAUUUCCUUUUGCUGCCCAUUUUGCCUCACCUUUUAUUGAUUUCUCAUAUCUAAAUAGCUCAUAUGUAUAGCCUAAGGUGUUGUCAUGAUAGUGGAAAUAAAAGGCAAGUAGUAUAUGACAUCAUCCCACCAUCUCCAUUCUCUGUUAGGAGAGGUCUAAUCUUGUGAUUUUGGCAAUACUCUUAUGGCUUAACAAACCAAUGAAUCAUCUAAUUAAACAGCUAUCUCAUUAAUAAUUCAUCUUUAUACUUUCAUUAGCUAGAUUUUACAACCUGGUCUCUGAGGCCUUGAUAAUUAAAUAUUUCACCAUCCAUAUACCUUUAAGUUCAUUGCUUAAAACUUGCCCCAUGUUUUUGCUUUUAGCCUUUGUCCUACUCUUUGGUAUGUCACUAAACAGGCUGAGCAUUCAGUAAACUAUGCUAUUCAGAUUCUUGCAUAACAUUCUAGUUUAGAACACAGUAGUCUUUGUUUUAGAGAGCCAAGCCAAAGAAUGUUCUCAUGUACGUGGUGGCAAAUAAUCUCAGACGUUAUCUAGGACUUGAAGAUCCUCCAGCUGGAACACCAGUAUGCCCAGAAUUAAUAAGAAAAUAUUUUAUGUAAGACAUGGUUAUGAGCAUCAGGAAGACAUAACCCAAAAGAUACUGGUAAGAAAUGAUUUGUAUUUAUUUAUUUGACAGAGCACAAGCCGGGGGGAGCUGCAGGGAGAGAGAGAAGCAAACUCCCCGCUGAACAGAAAGCCCAACUCAGGGCUUGAUCCCAUCACAACCCUAGCCAAAGGAGGACACGUAACCAACUGAGUCACCCAGGCACCCCUGCAUUUCCUAUUUUUAGUCUGUGUGC